rnacentral:rRNA from 1 species
AGUGAACGCUGGCGGUAGGCCUAACACAUGCCAGUCGAACGGCAGCACAGUAAGAGCUUGCUCUUACGGGUGGCGAGUGGCGGACGGGUGAGGAAUACAUCGGAAUCUACUUUUUCGUGGGGGAUAACGUAGGGAAACUUACGCUAAUACCGCAUACGACCUACGGGUGAAAGCAGGGGAUCUUCGGACCUUGCGCGAUUGAAUGAGCCGAUGUCGGAUUAGCUAGUUGGCGGGGUAAAGGCCCACCAAGGCGACGAUCCGUAGCUGGUCUGAGAGGAUGAUCAGCCACACUGGAACUGAGACACGGUCCAGACUCCUACGGGAGGCAGCAGUGGGGAAUAUUGGACAAUGGGCGCAAGCCUGAUCCAGCCAUACCGCGUGGGUGAAGAAGGCCUUCGGGUUGUAAAGCCCUUUUGUUUGGAAAGAAAAGCAGCAGGUUAAUACCCCGCUGUUCUGACGGUACCCAAAGAAUAAGCACCGGCUAACUUCGUG